AAGUCGUAACAAGGUUUCCGUAGGUGAACCUGCGGAAGGAUCAUUACCGAGAGUUGCGGGCUUUGCCUGCCAUCUCUUACCCAUGUCUUUUGCGUACCGCAUGUUUCCUCGGCAGGCUCGCCUGCCGGGUGAAACAACUUCAAACCUGUUUAAUUUUCAAUCAGCGUCUGAACAAAUUAAUAAUUACAACUUUCAACAACGGAUCUCUUGGUUCUG
rnacentral:misc_RNA from 1 species